UUGACCAACCCUCUUGUUCAACUUUACAGCCGCCAGCGAGGAAGUUUCUACCUGCUACCGGCGGUCAAUGAACAUGCCCGAUAAGUAAUUAAUCCACGUGCUCAUUUCGAUUCUUUAUAUUCCCGCUUCUAGCCAAACCCUGGCAUCGUUUAAUCUUCUGCAGAAACAGAAAUUGGGAGAGAAUUCUGUGUGUGAAGGAUUUUGAUUUUUAAGGGUUGAGAAGCUUUUGGAAAAAUGUCAAGCAGAGCUUUCAUUAGUGCAGUUAUGGCGGUGGUCUUGAGCAUGUUUGCCGUAAUGGCGGUGAAUGCUCAAGAAGUUUCAGCCCCUGCUCCUGCCCCUACCAGCGAUGGGUACGCCAUUGACCAAGGAAUCGCCUCUAUUCUCAUGCUGGUGGCACUGCUGCUCACCUACUUCUUGCACUGAUUGCACACCAGACAUUCUUUCUUCGGAUCGCACAGAUUGUUUUCCUUAUUAAAUUAGGGUCUGCAUAAAUUUUCAAAUCAAGUGCUGCAAAGAUUGAUCUCCUAUUCUUUAUUCAUUAUCCAUUCCUUCUCUGCAAAAGUCGAUCUCCAAUUCGUUCUUCAUUAUCCGUGCCUGUCAGGGCAUGAUUGUACAAUAGCAAAUUUUCAUUAUGAUUAUUUUUAUAUGAGAAAUAAAUUCUUUUAUUAAAAUCA